rnacentral:rRNA from 1 species
UACGUAGGGGGCAAGCGUUGUCCGGAUUUACUGGGCGGAAAGAGCGUGUAGGCGGCCAAGCAGGUCCGUUGUGAAAACUGGAGGCUUAACCUCCAGACGUCGACGGAAACCGCGUGGCUAGAGUCCGGAAGAGGAGAGUGGAAUUCCUGGUGUAGCGGUGAAAUGCGCAGAUAUCAGGAAGAACACCAAUGGCGAAGGCAGCUCUCUGGGACGGUACUGACGCUGAGACGCGAAAGCGUGGGGAGCGAACAGG